AAAAAGACUUUUUUAAAAGUCACAAAACUGAGUUUUACUAUUUAAA
rfam:Mus musculus chromosome 1 genomic contig MG3496_PATCH, GRC reference assembly FIX PATCH for GRCm38.